rnacentral:rRNA from 1 species
UACGUAGGGUGCAAGCGUUAAUCGGAAUUACUGGGCGUAAAGCGUGCGCAGGCGGUUUUGUAAGUCUGUCGUGAAAGCCCCGGGCUCAACCUGGGAAUUGCGAUGGAGACUGCAAGGCUUGAAUCUGGCAGAGGGGGGUAGAAUUCCACGUGGUAGCAGGUGAAAUGCGUAGAGAUGAUGGAGGAACACCGAUGGCGAAGGCAGCCCCCUGGGUCAAGAUUGACGCUCAUGCACGAAAGCGUGGAGAGCAAACAGG